rnacentral:rRNA from 1 species
GAUGAACGCUGGCGGCAUGCCUAAUACAUGCAAGUCGAGCGAACCGACCAGGAGCUUGCUCCCCUGACUUUAUCGGCGGACGGGAGCGUAACACGUGGAUAACCUACCUAUACGACUGGGAUAACUUCGGGAAACCGGAGCUAAUACCGGAUAACAUGUUGCCCCUCAUGGUUCACCCGUGAAAGUCGGUCUUGCUUUCACUUAUAGCUGAAUACGGCCUGCAUGAAUUAGUUGGUUAAGUAACGGCUUAACAAGGCAAGGAGGGGUAGCCGACCUCAGCGGGUGGUCGCCCACACGGUAACAGAGACUGGGUCCAGACUCUGACGGGAGGAAACAGUAGAGAAUCUUACGCAAGGGGGGAGAGGCUGACAGAGCAACGCCGGGGGAGUGAUGAAGGACCUCUGCUCGGAAAACGCUGUAGGUAGUGAAGAACAAAUGUGCAAUUAACCAGGCUCAUCUUGACGGUACCGAAAGAGAAAGCCACGGCUAACUACGUG